UACGGCCAUAUCAUGUUGAAACUGGCUCCCGUAUGAUCACCAAAGUUAAGCAAUGUCGAGCUUGGUCAGUACUUAGAUGGGUGACCGCUUUGUAAUACCAAGUACUGUAAG